rnacentral:lncRNA from 1 species
AUGACAUUGAUAUGGUUUUUAAAAAUAUUUAGAUUUUAGAACUGAGAGCCAACCUGAAUCAUUCAACAUAGACAUAUAUGUACCUCCAGAUGAGUAGUUUAGCCCUAAGAAACUAUCAGAGUUCAUAUCAAAUGUAAUCCAGGCAACUAUGCUUUUUGUUAUUCCAGAUUCAAAAGCAAUGUUCAUAGAGGGAUCGAGUCAUUUUGAGUUCUUCAAUGAGAUACAGCAGUUGUUCACAACCACUAGGGUCCAAGGAGUGGAAGAAUGGGUAGUGAAGAUUUUGAAACCAGCAGUGCCUGAUGAUCUUCUUAAAAAAGUUUAAACAAGUAAUCAAGAAGAACCCAGUGAAAUCUCCGCUUCCUGAAAUCAUAGCAGGUGAUGCUUGAAUACAUACAGGCCUGUCAUUGCAAAAUAAAAUGUAAUUUUCAUCAAUUAAAUUGUUUAUUGAAGAAGCAAAACCUGAUUCUGAUUUUCUGCAUUUUCAGGAACAAAUUUGCAUGGAUGAAUAAUGACAAAUUUGGGCGAUAUCCAACCGUAAUCCAUGUUUGCAGGUGUGUCAAGUGACCUGAAAAGGGGAUCCUCAACAUAAUUUGAUGGAAUAAUUUCGUUUUCUUUGUUCAAUGUAAAUCUGACGUACUACUAAAAUGUGCUUAAACAAAAGAGAUUGGAAAAGUGUCACUCACAGGGUCUCAUUGAGGUCCUUCAAUAUACAAAUACCGAUUUCUUGUACGUCAGUGGAGGGUAGUGUUAUCUUGUGAAUGGAGUUGGGAAACCAUUAUAUGUCAAUGCUCUGACAAAGAAUUUGCAUAGUUCGCCUUGCGCCUGUGUGGAAGUUAGUGCUGACAAACCUCUAGUUGAUUGCCGAC